GCAAUGCCUCUAUGAGAUUCAGCUGUAAGGCAUUUUCUCAAUUAGUGAUAAGGAUGGCAGGGCCCAUUGUGGGUGGUGUCAUCCCUGGGCUGGUAGUCUUG
rnacentral:miRNA from 14 species